rnacentral:rRNA from 1 species
CUACGGGUGGCACCAGUUAGGAAUAAUCUACAAUGCGCGCAAGCGUGAUAGUUUGAGCCAGAGUGCUUUUCUAUUUGAAAAGCUUUUGUGGAAUGUAAAAAGUUCCGCGAAUAAGGACUGGGUAAGACGAGUGCCAGCCGCCGCGGUAAUACUCGCGGUCCAAGUCGCAGCCAUUUUUAUUGGGUCUAAAACAUCCGUAGCUUGCUUGAAAAGUUUCUUGUGAAAUCCGGCCUCUUAAGGGUUGGGCGCGCGAGAAAUACUCUCAAGCUAGAGACCGGGAGACGUAGCGAGUAUGUUCAAAGUAGCGGUAAAAUGUGUUAAUCUUGAGCAGACUAACAAUAGCGAAGGCAUGUUACGAGCACGGUUCUGACAGUAAGGGAUGAAGGCUAGGGGCGCAAAACGGAUUAGAUACCCUAGUAGUC